UGGGCUUCCUCCGAUAACGGGUAUAAACUUCUUCUUUUUCUUUCACAAAGAAAAAAAAUAAAAUCACACAUUUCUGUCCUUCAAACAAUCAAACGUCAAAUAACAGACGCACGUGUGAGGAGAGAUCCCGUUUAACACUACACGCACACGUAAGCAGAGCUGUUUUCGUUAGAACUUUCCCGUUUCGGUUAUCUCCACACGCAACGACCUCUUUAAAACAGAGCUUUACACGUGUGCGCGCCCCCGUUUAUUUUCUCGUUCGCUCUUUUGUCUUAAAGACUCUUAACUUAAAAGUCUUGACAAUUAAAAGAGACGUCAAAAGAGAAAAAAAGAGAAUUUUUUGAAUUAAAACCCUUAUAACACGGCGAUUAACGGGGGUGAAUCCAUGUGCUUGAUAUAGAAUGAUAUGGUUGAUGAUAUUUUUAAAAUUAAGAUUACGUAAAUGACCAUGAUGAUAUCUCCAACAAU